rnacentral:rRNA from 1 species
GACGAAGGUGGCAAGCGUUGUUCGGAUUCACUGGGCAUAAAGGGCGCGUAGGCGGUUCCGAAAGUGGCCUGUGAAAUCCCCCGGCUCAACCGGGGAAGUGCGGGCCAAACUUCGGUCCUUGAGGCUGGGAGGGGAGACUGGAACUCUCGGUGGAGCGGUGAAAUGCGUAGAUAUCGAGAGGAACACCAGUGGCGAAGGCGGCUCACUGGCCCGAUACUGACGCUGAGGCACGAAAGCGUGGGGAGCAAACAGG